UAUAGAAAAAUUUAUUUAUUUAAAUGAUUUUAGAAUCAACUUAAUUUUUAGUUUUUUAAAUUAAAAAAUAUUAAUAAUUAUAGCUAAUUAGUAAUGAAAAUGAAAAUUUAAAAUUUUUAUAUUUAUAAAAGAAGAAUUUAUUUUUUGUACCUUGUGUAUCAGGGUUGAUUUAUUAAAAAUUAAUUAUUUUAAUUUUCUCGAAUUAAUAAGAUCUAGAAAUUUAUUAUUUAAUUGUUUUAUAAAUUUUUAUUAUAAAUUUUUAGAAGUGAAACGUUUUUCGUUUAUUAAUAUAUCUAGUUUUUUAAGAAAUAAAUUUAAUUUAGAAAAUGAAAUUUUAAUAAUUUUAUAUUAAUUAUUAUAUUUUAUUAUUUAAAAAUUUAAGGGAUAAGCUUUAAAUUUUAUUAUUAAAAAUUUAUUUUUAUGAAUAUUUUAGUUUUACUAAUAUUGUAAAUCUUUCUAUAAUAUAAAAGUUAUUUUAUUCAAAAUUUAGAUUUUUUAGAAGUUUUAAUUUUUUUAUUAAAAUUAAAAAAUUAAUUAUAAAAUUUUUUGUGUUUAUGAUUAAAUUAGUAAAAUAAAUUUUAUAAAGUUAAUUUUUUUUAAAGAUUUUAUUAAGGAACUCGGCAAAUUUAUUUUUCGCCUGUUUAUUAAAAACAUGUCUUUUUGAAAAAAAUAUAAAGUCUAGUCUGCUCAAUGAAUAAAAAUUUAAAUAGCUGCAGUAUUUUGACUGUACAAAGGUAGCAUAAUAAUUAGUUUUUUAAUUGAAAGCUGGAAUGAAGGAUUGGACGAGAAAAUUACUGUCUCAAUAAAAAUAAUUGAAUUUAACUUUUUAGUUAAAAGGCUAAAAUUUUUUUAAAAGACGAGAAGACCCUAUAGAGUUUUAUAGUUAAUAUUUUUUAAUAUAAUUAGAAUUAUUAAUUUUUAAAUUUGUAUUAAUUAUUUGGUUGGGGUGAUUAAAAAAUUUAUAAAACUUUUUUAUUUUAUUAAUUAUUUAUUUAUAAAUUAAUUUUCUAGAUUUUUAAAAUUAAAAUAAAUUACCUUAGGGAUAACAGCGUAAUAUAUUUUUAAAGUUCUUAUUUAAAAAUUUGUUUGCGACCUCGAUGUUGGAUUAAAAUUUAUUAUUGGUGCAGGAGCUAAAUAAUUAAGUCUGUUCGACUUUUAAAAUUUUACAUGAUCUGAGUUUAAACCGGUGUAAGCCAGGUUGGUUUCUAUCUUUAAAAAUGAAAAAUCUUUUAGUACGAGAGGACCAAAGAUUUAUUAAAAUAAUUUUUUUAUGAAUAAAAUU
rnacentral:rRNA from 1 species